UAAAGAUUCAUCGCUGAUAGAUAGGCAUGCGUUCCAUUAGGCAGUUGGCGGGGUAACGGCCCACCAAACCGACGAUGGAUAGGGGUUCUGAGAGGAAGGUCCCCCACAUUGGUACUGAGACACGGACCAAACUCCUACGGGAGGCAGCAGUGAGGAAUAUUGGUCAAUGGGCGUAAGCCUGAACCAGCCAAGUCGCGUGAGGGAUGAAGGUUCUAUGGAUCGUAAACCUCUUUUAUAAGGGAAUAAAGUGUGGGACGUGUCCUGUUUUGUAUGUACCUUAUGAAUAAGGAUCGGCUAACUCCGUGCCAGCAGCCGCGGUAAUACGGAGGAUCCGAGCGUUAUCCGGAUUUAUUGGGUUUAAAGGGUGCGUAGGCGGCCUUUUAAGUCAGCGGUGAAAGUCUGUGGCUCAACCAUAGAAUUGCCGUUGAAACUGGGGGGCUUGAGUAUGUUUGAGGCAGGCGGAAUGCGUGGUGUAGCGGUGAAAUGCUUAGAUAUCACGCAGAACCCCGAUUGCGAAGGCAGCCUGCCAAGCCAUGACUGACGCUGAUGCACGAAAGCGUGGGGAUCAAACAGGAUUAGAUACCCUGGUAGUCCACGCAGUAAACGAUGAUCACUAGCUGUUUGCGAUACAGUGUAA
rnacentral:rRNA from 1 species